rnacentral:misc_RNA from 1 species
GAUGAAGAACGCAGUGAAAUGCGAUAAGUAAUGUGAAUUGCAGAAUUCAGUGAACCAUCGAAUCUUUGAACGCACAUUGCGCCCGCUAGUACUCUAGCGGGCAUGCCUGUUCGAGCGUCAUUUCAACCCUCAAGCCCUGCUUGGUGUUGGGGCCCUACGGCUGCCGUAGGCCCUGAAAGGAAGUGGCGGGCUCGCUACAACUCCGAGCGUAGUAAUUCAUUAUCUCGCUUAGGGUGUUGUGCGGUGCUCCAGCCGUUAAAGACCAUCUUUAACUCAAGGUUGACCUCGGAUCAGGUAGGAAUACCCGCUGAACUUAAGCAUAUCAAUAAGCGGAGGA